GCGUGGCGCAAUGAAUAACGCGUCUGCCUACGGAGCAGAAGAUUGCAGGUUCGAAUCUUGCGUGCA
rnacentral:tRNA from 1 species